rfam:Mesorhizobium metallidurans STM 2683, WGS project CATM01000000 data, contig: ANX_1634_Contig_168
GUCGCCGCGAGGCGGGGUCUGAAGGAAGCGUGGAGCAAACCCGCGACCCGAUGGACAAGAACCGGAUAUGAGGCCUACCCGGCCGGACGAGCGGGCCAAUGACCGCGAAGUCCAUGGUCACCAAGGACCGGGGUGGUAAAUUCGGCGGGUGUGCGGGGAAGGCGGUCGAUC